rnacentral:lncRNA from 1 species
GUGUCAUGUCACAACAUCGUCAUCGUGUCGCAGCGCGUCGUGGUGUCGUGACAUGCGGUCGUGUCACGACGUGCCAUCACAUUUGUGUCAUGACGUGUCGUCAUGUUGUAACAUGUCACAACAUGUCACUGUCAUCAUGUCGUGAUACGUCAUCGUGUCACGUCACGACAUGUCACCGUGUCACAAUGUGUCAUCGUAUUGUGACGCGUCAGCGCGUCGUGACGUGUUACACCGUGUCACUGUCGUGACAUGUCGCUAGGUGUCAGCAUGUCACAUCGUGCCCCGACGUGUCAUCAUGUCAUGACGUCUCGUUGUGUCAUGCCAUGUCGCUGUGUCACAAUGUGUCAUCACGUCGCGACAUGUCACCAUGUCAUUGUCACGGCGCGUUGCGUUAUGACAUCACCGUGUUGUGACAUGUCGUGACGUGUCAUGUCACACCGUGUCAGAACUUGUCACUGUGUCAUGACGUCAUCAUGUCACGAUGUGUCAUCAUGUCGUGACAUGUCACCAUGUCACAACACGUCACUGUCGCAACUUGUGUCGCGAUGCCGCUGUUACAUGUCGGCCUGUUGCAACAUGUCAACGUCAUGACAUCGUGUCCUGACGUCACCAUGUCACGUGUCGCCAUGCUGCGACACGUCCCCAUGUCCCGACACGUCCCCGUGUCGCGAUGCGUCCCCACGUUGCUGCGGCGCCGCGUGUCACCGCGCCGCGUCACCGUGUCGCAACAUGUCACGACGCGUCGCCGCAGACGGAGCCGCGCAGCCAAUAAACGGGAACGGAUCCGGCCCCAGCGGUGGCCUGGGGGCGUCAGGGGGGGAACUGGGGGGUACUGGGAGCCACUGGGCACCAACUGGGGGUUACUGGGUGCUCUUGGGAGCCACUGGGGGUUACUGGGCACCAUUGAGCACCAACUGGGUGUUACUGGGAGCUGUUGGGGGUUUACUGGGAGUUACUGGGUGAUGCUGAGAGCCACUGGGGGUAACUGGAGCCCAAUUGGCACCACUGGGCAUUACUGGGGGGUACUGGGAGUUAUUGGGCACCAACUGGGUGUUACUGGGAGCCUUUGGGUGUCACUGGGAGUUACUGGGAGCCACUGGGGGUCACUGGAACCCACUGGGAGCCGA